AAAAUGGAUUGUAAUUAUUUAUGUGGAGACCACAGUAUUUUCGUUUUCAAGUAGAAUGGCAUAGCGUGUGCAGUUUGGCGUUUGAGUGGAAAACAAACCGUUUUCCUAAAAAAAGAGAGUUUCGGCAGGUAAGAAUUUUUAAAUGGAAUCCAAAAUUAUUGCCAAAACUAAAUAAGAUCCAGAAUUUAGGUAUGUGGUCAUAAUAGCUUCUCGUCUCCAAUUCCCAUUCAAAUAUAUAACAGAUGGAAAAGAUUAUGUAAGGGAUUUGAGAUUGCAGAUCAUGUGAGCCUCUCCUGUAUUGUCUUUCUUGUCUCGCUCAAAUUAUAUAUAUAUAUGUAUGUAUGUAUAUAUACAAAAGGUGUUAUUCUAAUAAACAAUAAAAACGCCAUUAGUUCAUUAUCUCUCAGUAACACUAGCCCGAGACUAAGCCGAAUGGUGCAUCUUUGGAUUAAUUCAAAUCUUCGCAAUGCUGAGCAAUGCAACAAAUUGAGCAUCAUUGGGCCCAUGAUGAAGAUGAAGCCCAAUUGAAGUCUCGGUUGCCACCCGACCCGACCCGAGGAGUAGGACCACUCAAGUCAAGGAGAUUAUGUGCAACAUUCUGCGAUGUUGGCUACUUUCAAUAGGGUCAUGUUGGUACGUAUGAAUGGAAUGAAAAUCGACUACACAAAAUCCAAUUGACAUUGUUGGCCUGUUCAGUACUCUGUCUAGUUCACUGGUUCUUUAUUAUUUGUAGGAGGAAUAGCCGUAAAAUGCGAAUGAUUGGAAACAGGUUAGGAACAUUAUGUUGCAAAUGAUGUUCGUGGAGCUCUACAUGACAAGAGUUCUUGCGCUUUGGAAACAUGUCUGCUCAUAAUAAUGGGAUUUUGUUUUUUCUUGGAAUCUAGGAAGGGAAAGAGUGUAAUUUUGUUAUUUUUCUAAAAAAUUUGGCAACUUCGUUCGAAUUAAUUACUUGUAAUAAUGGGAACUUACAAUCAAAUUUUCAAUUAAGCAGCGUGACA